UAAGCGCCGCGGUCACUUCCGGUCUAUUGAAAAUGUCAUUUUACACUAAGUGCUUGCAGGGUUUCCCAAGGUAAUAAUUACUUAAAUAAGUAAGCUGGAGAAACAUUUGGAGGCAGGUUUUAAGAUGUACACCUCGUCAUACAUUCACGGAUACGAAGCAGUGUGUACACUUUUGGGGCCAUGAGGACGGGUUAUUGAAAGAUGCAGCAUAAUUAAGAAACUGGAUUCGGGUUCAACUGAGCAUCUGUGUUGUAACAAACUACCUCUCCAGCUCUUCAUUCUGCUGCGUCUGACUUAUCACGACUUUGCUGCCUCACCACGAAGGGAGACGGAUGCAGGAAACGCGGACACGCACGCCACCACGGUCCCGAAUUAGGAAUUUGUCUUUGUCCUCUCAUACAGAUGCCCCUUGGAACUCGCAGAGCAUUGCCCAUUAGUGUUGCUUGCAUGGUCUUCGAUGGGGCCUGUCCACCACGCCAGUCCCUCGAAGUGGCCUCGCUGGAGUCGCCACAGAACCUCGACUUCAUCAAUCUCCUUCCAGCUGGCAGGAAUAAGUGGCACCAAAGGGCGAGGUCUCUGCUGGCCACCUGGAGCCAAAAUGACUGUCAGGACAGGAGAGGCGAGGAGAGGAGAGGACAGGACAGCAAACAAUGAGAAGAUUGCCUGACGGAAACAGGGACGAUAAAGACAGACGUCGCUCCCUCUGCUUUAAUCCAUCAACUGGCUGUUGCUAUGGUGUUUCUCCCUCCGCCCAAUCAGAGCAGUGCUGCUGAGCACGCUCAGAGAUGAGAAUCACAGGACAACUGCUCGUCUUCGAUACGACGAGCAAAAGGAUGAUGGAAUCGGCGAUUAAGAAAUCUGACAACUAAUUUAGAAAGGGAUAGAGAAGCUGACCAGAGUUGAAGGGACGCUGCAUGGAGCUGAAUACGAAACGAAUCCUGGAAGAAAACCCGGUCGAUGCUGCAACCGUCAACUUCCAGGAAGAGAAAAAAAAAUCUGAGACUUCGGGCUUCAAACUCUAGUCCUAGAGGGCCAAAAUCCUGAGACUUUUAGAUCUAUCCCAGGUCUAACAUGCCUGAAUUACCUCCUUACUGCGCAGUCGAGUUCUACAGAGUCAAUAACCCAUUCGUUUUAUUCAGGUGUGUCGAAGAGAGACACUUCUACAUUGCAGGACAUUGGGUCUUGAAGACCGGAGUUUGACUUCUGUGAUUUAGACCAAAGUUCAGACCUAUUGAGAAUCUGUGGCAAAACUUUCCAAUUGCUGUUCCAUCUGCAGCUACUCUAACUAAGCUUGUGCUGUCUUUUUUCAUUAUCAAACGGGUGAAAAUGUGCAUCUCUAGACAUCCAAAGAUAGUGGAGCCAGUAAUGGUGGUUUUAUAAAUUGCGAGUGCUGAAUAUAAAUGCACACCACACUUUUAAGUGUGGUGUGCUUAACACCACACUUUUAAGUGUGGUAUAGAGAGCUGAUUUUAUAGAUCAGCUCUCUAUAAAAAGAGCUGAUCUUGUACAGAUCAGCUCUUUUUAUAGAGAAAUUCAAAUAAACACAAGCGGAGUAAUUAUUAAACUGUUGCCCCACAA